UUGAUGUUUUUGGGUUUAGAUUUGAAGGUUUAGGGUUUUAGGGUUAGGGUUCGAAUUUCAGAAAAAUAUAGGGUUUAGGGUUUACGUUUAGUGUUUAGAGUUGAUGUUUUAGGGUUUAGAUUAGAAGGUUUAGAGUUUAUGUUUCGGGGUUUAGGGUUUAGAAUUGAUGUUUCAGGGUUUAGGGUUUAGAGUUGAUGUUUCGGGGUUUAGGGUUUAGAGUUGAUGAUUUAAGGUUUAAAUUGAUAUUUUAAGUUUAGAUUUAGGGUUUAGGGUUUACCUUUAGGGUUUAGAGUUGAUAUUUUAGGGUUUAGAUUUGAAGGUUUAGGGUUUAGGGUUUAGAGUUGAUGUUUCGGGGUUUAGGGUUUAGAAUUGAUGUUUCGGGGUUUAGGGGUUUAGUUUUGAUGAUUUAAAGUUUUUCAUGUUUUAAGUUUAGAUUAGUUAACCGUAUGUUUUUUUUUU
rnacentral:lncRNA from 1 species